GUGUCAGCCGCCGCGGUAAUACGGAGGGGGCUAGCGUUGUUCGGAAUUACUGGGCGUAAAGCGCGCGUAGGCGGUUUGCCAAGUCAGAGGUGAAAGCCCGGGGCUUAACCUCGGAAUUGCCUUUGAGACUGGCAGGCUUGAGUACGGGAGAGGUAAGUGGAAUUCCGAGUGUAGAGGUGAAAUUCGUAGAUAUUCGGAAGAACACCAGUGGCGAAGGCGGCUUACUGGACCGUUACUGACGCUGAGGCGCGAAAGCGUGGGGAGCAAACAGGAUUAGAUACCCUGGUAGUCCACGCCGUAAACGAUGGGUGCUAGAUGUUGGGGGCCUUUGGCUUCCGGUGUCGCAGCUAACGCGUUAAGCACCCCGCCUGGGGAGUACGGCCGCAAGGUUAAAACUCAAAUGAAUUGACGGGG
rnacentral:rRNA from 1 species